GCUAUACAUGCAAGUAGGACGCACAGUUUAUACCGUAGCUUGCUACACCAUAGACUGUGAGUUGCGAACGGGUGAGUAACGCGUAGGUAACCUACCUAUUAGAGGGGGAUAACUAUUGGAAACGAUAGCUAAUACCGCAUAACAGUAUGUAACACAUGUUAGAUGCUUGAAAGAUGCAAUUGCAUCGCUAGUAGAUGGACCUGCGUUGUAUUAGCUAGUAGGUAGGGUAAUGGCCUACCUAGGCAACGAUACAUAGCCGACCUGAGAGGGUGAUCGGCCACACUGGGACUGAGACACGGCCCAGACUCCUACGGGAGGCAGCAGUAGGGAAUCUUCGGCAAUGGGGGGAACCCUGACCGAGCAACGCCGCGUGAGUGAAGAAGGUUUUCGGAUCGUAAAGCUCUGUUGUUAAGGAAGAACGAGUGUGAGAAUGGAAAGUUCAUGCUGUGACGGUACUUAACCAGAAAGGGACGGCUAACUACGUGCCAGCAGCGGCGGGUAAUAAA
rnacentral:rRNA from 1 species